GAACUUAAGCAUAUCAAUAAGCGGAGGAAAAGAAACUAACAAGGAUUCCCCUAGUAACUGCGAGUGAAGCGGGAAAAGCUCAAAUUUAAAAUCUGGUGGUCCCGAGUUGGCUGCCCGAGUUGUAAUCUAGAGAAGUGCUUUCCGCGCUGGACCGUGUACAAGUCUCUUGGAACGGAGCGUCGUAGAGGGUGACAAUCCCGUCUUUGACACGGACUGCCAGGGCUUAUGUGAUGCGCUCUCGAAGAGUCGAGUUGUUUGGGAAUGCAGCUCAAAAUGGGUGGUAAAUUCCAUCUAAAGCUAAAUAUGGGCGAGAGACCGAUAGCGAACAAGUACCGUGAGGGAAAGAUGAAAAGAACUUUGAAAAGAGAGUUAAACAGUACGUGAAAUUGUUGAAAGGGAAACGAUUCAAGUCAGUCGCGUUGGCCGGUAAUCAACCCUUGCGAAGGCGGGGGCUUACUUUCCGUCUGACGGGUCAGCAUCAAUUUUGACCGUCAGAUAAAGGUUUGGGGAACGUGGCAUCUUCGGAUGUGUUAUAGCCCCUUGUCAGAUGUGACGGUUGGGAUUGAGGAACUUGGCACGCCCGCAAAGGGUCGGGGCUUUUUGCCCACGUAACGUGCUUUGGAUGCUGGCAUAAUGGCUUGAACCGACCCGUCUUGAAACACGGACCAAGGAGUCUAACAUGCCUGCGAGUGUUUGGGUGGCAAACUCGAGCGCGAAGUGAAAGUGAAACUUGUCGAGAUCUCUGUCGUGGGGAGCACCGACGCCCGGACCUGACCUUUUGUGAAGGAUCCGCGGUUGAGCAUGCAUGUUGGGACCCGAAA
rnacentral:rRNA from 1 species